rnacentral:sRNA from 1 species
GGGCGGAUGUUGUGAGCCGGGUCGCGGCGGCCGAGGCUCGGGCCUCCAGGACCACUGGCUGCCCAUGAGAGAUGAAGGAUGGCAUCCAAGGGGGCCGGCAUGUCUUUCUCCCACAAGAGCUAUAGGCUGACCUCAGAUGCUGAGAAAUCCAGGGUCACAGGCAUUGUGCAGGAGAAGCUGCUGAAUGACUACCUGAACCGCAUCUUUUCCUCUUCUGAACAUGCAGCCACCAGCAGGAAACCCCUGAACUUCCAGAACCUGCCAGAACAUUUGGACCAGUUGCUACAGGUGGACAAUGAGGAGGAGGAAAGCCAGGGACAGGUUGAAGGGCGGCUUGGCCCAUCCACUGUGGUCCUGGACCACACAGGCGGCUUUGAGGGGCUUCUCCUGGUGGAUGAUGACCUGCUGGGGGUGAUUGGACACAGCAACUUUGGCACCAUCCGCUCUACCACAUGCGUGUACAAAGGGAAAUGGGUCUACGAGGUCCUCAUCUCCUCCCAGGGGCUCAUGCAGAUCGGCUGGUGCACCAUCAGCUGCCGCUUCAACCAGGAGGAGGGGGUUGGAGAUACACACAACUCCUAUGCCUAUGAUGGCAACCGCGUGCGCAAGUGGAACGUGACCACUACGAAUUAUGGCAAGGCGUGGGCAGCGGGGGACAUCGUGAGCUGCCUGAUCGACCUGGAUGAUGGCACUCUGUCCUUCUGCCUGAACGGUGUAUCACUGGGCACUGCCUUUGAGAACCUAUCCAGGGGCCUGGGUAUGGCCUACUUCCCAGCCAUCAGCCUCUCUUUCAAGGAGUCCGUGGCCUUCAACUUUGGCAGCCGUCCUCUGCGCUACCCAGUGGCAGGCUACCGGCCCCUGCAGGACCCACCGAGUGCUGACCUGGUGCGGGCACAGAGGUUGCUGGGCUGCUUCCGGGCAGUGCUGAGUGUGGAGCUGGACCCUGUGGAGGGACGGCUGUUGGACAAGGAGAGCUCCAAGUGGCGGUUGCGGGGCCAGCCCACCGUCCUCCUCACACUGGCCCACAUCUUCCAUCACUUUGCACCGCUUCUGGUGAGCGGCAUUGGGAGGGGCAUGGGAGGGGAGGAGACAGGCCAUGCUAGACACGCCCGUGGUAGAUGUGCCCUCACCGAGGGCUGCAGUGCUGAGGUCCCACAGCAUCACCUGGCGGGGGCCCCAUGUGACCAGGGCCCUCAGACCUCAGUCAGUCCCCCAGGGAAACAGGGACAUUGCCAACCAAGGGCAUCAGGGGAUGUCCUGGAAAGAAGACUGAAGGAUAAUAACAUCCCAGGCCAAGGAAACUGCGUGUGCCAAGCCUUAGAGGAGCCGUGGGGCAAUGACCUUCUUGUCCCUCAGUCAGACCCCAGAAGGGGUCAUCUAUGUUUGGUGUUGCUCGAGUGGCUCAAGGCUCUGUGCCUGAGGCUUGUGCCUCGGCCAUGUGCCAGGGCAGGGGUGCCUUGACCAGAGUGGAAGGCCACCACCUCACCAGUGCCUGGCCUUGGUGCAGCGCAAGGUGUAUCUGGUGGAGGCUGUGCUCAUGAGCUUCCUGCUGGGCAUCGUGGAGAAGGGCACACCCACACAGGCACAGUCCGUGGUGCACCAGGUCCUGGACCUCUUGUGGCUCUUCAUGGAGGUGAGGCUCCUGACCUCAGGCCUCAGGCCUGGCUGUCAGUCUUCACUGGGGUCGGGAAGAUACGGGGAGAAUCUUGGAAAAGGCCCCAGUCAUGGCUGCGUUGGCAUCUCUUCCCCCAGGACUACGAGGUACAAGAUUGCCUCAAGCAGUUGAUGAUGUCUCUGCUUCGGCUGUACCGAUUCUCACCCAUUGUCCCAGACCUGGGCCUACAGGUGGGAGCCCCUACCCCUGCCCUGAGCCCCCUGGGACUCGCCUGUCCACUCUGAACGCCCCCUCUCCACAGAUCCAUUACCUGCGGCUCACUAUCGCCAUCCUGAGGCAUGAGAAGUCCCGCAAGUUUCUGCUUAGCAAUGUCCUCUUCGACGUGCUCCGCUCCGUCGUCUUCUUUUACAUCAAGAGCCCCUUGCGUGUGGAGGAGGCCGGCCUGCAGGAGCUCAUUCCCACCACCUGGUGGCCCCACUGCUCCAGUAGGGAGGGCAAAGAGAGCACGGAGAUGAAGGAGGAGACCGCAGAGGAGCGGCUGCGGCGGCGAGCCUACGAACGGGGCUGCCAGCGGCUCAGGAAGCGCAUUGAAGUGGUGGAAGAACUACAGAUCCAGAUCCUGAAGCUGCUACUGGACAAUAAAGAUGACAAUGGGGGUGAAGCUUCUAGGUAUAUCUUCCUGACCAAGUUUCGCAAGUUUCUGCAGGAGAACGCCAGUGGCCGGGGGAACAUGCCCAUGCUCUGCCCCCCUGAGUACAUGGUCUGCUUUUUACACCGGCUGAUCUCUGCCCUGCGCUACUAUUGGGAUGAAUACAAGGCUUCCAAUCCUCAUGCUUCCUUCAGUGAGGAGGCCUACAUCCCGCCCCAGGUCUUCUAUAAUGGCAAGGUGGACUACUUUGACCUGCAGCGCCUGGGGGGCCUCCUCUCGCACCUGCGGAAGACCCUCAAAGAUGACCUUGCUUCCAAAGCCAACAUUGUGAUGGACCCACUGGAGCUCCAGUCAACCGCCAUGGAUGACCUAGAUGAGGAUGAGGAGCCAGCCCCAGCUAUGGCCCAGCACAGCGGCUGUGAGCCUCAUGACCCCACGGCGGCCUCUGAGCACCUCAGAGAAAGUGAAGGUCCGCACACUGAGCGUGGAGCAGAGGACCCGUGAGGACAGUAGUUGAAGGCAGCCACUGGAAUGAGGGCUUGCUGCUGGGGCGGCCCCCCGAGGAGCCUGAGCAGCCCCUCACCGAGAACUCGCUGCUGGAAGUCCUGGAUGGGGCGGUCAUGAUGUACAACCUCAGCGUACACCAGCAGCUGGGCAAGGUCGUGCACUCUUGGACCCCGCAUUGGGUGGCGGGUGUUGUGCGUGUUUGGUUGUGUGUGUAUUCCUGUGUGCACAUGGGCCCGCAGGGCUGCCUGUUCAAGACCGUGCAUGGGAGCACAUGCCUCAGCGAGGCUGGUUUCUGCUCCUGCUGCCUCAGUCUGACCUGCUGACUGUUGUGGGAAUGGGACCGCCCUGGGCCUAAGGUUGGGACCUUGGCAGGGCUGGGGUCCAGACUGGGUCUGAAGAAGCCUGGAUGAAGUGCCCAAGGGACACUCUGGACAUGUGGUCCCAUGCUGUGUAGAUGGUGGGUGUCUCCGAUGAUGUCAAUGAAUACGCUAUGGCUCUGAGGGACACAGAGGACAAGCUCCGCCGGUGCCCCAAGAGGAGGAAGGACAUCCUUGCAGAGUUGACCAAGAGCCAGAAGGUUUUCUCAGAAAAGCUGGACCACCUGAGCCGCCGUCUUGCAUGGGUCCAUGCCACUGUCUACUCCCAGGAGAAGAUGCUGGACAUCUACUGGCUGCUGCGCGUCUGCCUGCGGACCAUUGAGCACGGUGAUCGCACAGGGUCUCUCUUUGCCUUCAUGCCUGAGUUCUACCUGAGCGUGGCCAUCAACAGCUACAGUGCUCUCAAGAAUUACUUUGGUCCCGUGCACAGCAUGGAGGAGCUCCCAGGUGAUGGAACCAUUCAGGCUGAGGCAGAAGCAGAAAAGGGGUCUCUAGUGUGAGCCCUAGGAGCCCUGGUCUGAGACCUCUGUGGCCCAGCAACACACAUCUGUGGGGGGCGGGGAGGGGAGGAGCUUCCUCUGUGGUUCACCCUGCAGCAAACAAACGUCUGCACCCUGCCCUGGGACCUGCAGCCACAGAGCCAACAGCUCCCUGGCAAAGGAAAACAGACAAGAUGGAACACGGUGGGUGUAGACCUCUUGGCUUUCACUUCCUUCCUAGUGCUAUGAGCAACUGCCAUGGUCCAGGAGCCAGCUGGCCCUGCACCUUGACUCCCUGGCACUGGUCACAAAGCGUAACAGUUGGUCAGGGGCAGAAUGGUUUGUCUUGGUAAAUCACAGCAGGGGGUGGACCCUGCUAGGGUCCACAUCCGAACCUGGGCUUCUCAGCCUGCUGAUUCCAGGCUGGGCGUGGCAGUGUAUGUCUGGAUCAGGCAGUGAGCUGUCAGGCCCCUAGCCCGCCCCCUGCCCAGCCACAGGCCUCAGUGCAGGCUUUGUCUUCAAAGACAGAGCUGUGAGUGCCCAAGGAGCUUUGACUGCUCAUCAGGUGUGUGUGCUGAGAUGGGUUUGAGCCCAGGUCAGGGCUCCUGCCAGGGCCUGUCAUCCCUUCACAGUGAGCCUGUGCCUUAGCCCUUCCACAGCCACCAAUGAAUGCUUUGCCCGAUGUCCCCAGAUGCCACCCUGGGUCCAGGCUGGCCUUGGGAGCCAGCUCUAGAGCCUGCUACCCAAGUCCACCCACCCUGCUGACAUGCCUGCCUCUGGAGCCCCCGCUCCCAGCCGACACGUCUCACUUCCCACCCUUGCAGGCUAUGAAGAGACCCUGACCCGCCUGGCUGCCAUUCUCGCCAAACACUUUGCCGACACACGCAUUGUGGGCACUGACAUCCGAGACUCACUGAUGCAGGCCCUGGCCAGCUACGUGUGCUACCCACACUCCCUGCGGGCUGUGGAGCGAAUCCCCGAGGAGCAGCGUAUCGCCAUGGUGAGGAACCUCCUGGCGCCCUAUGAGCAGCGGCCCUGGGCCCAGACCAACUGGAUCCUGGUGCGGCUCUGGAGGGGCUGUGGCUUCGGGUACCGCUAUACACGGCUGCCACAUCUGCUGAAAACCAAACUUGAGGACGCCAAUUUGCCCAGCCUCCAGAAGCCCUGCCCCUCCACCCUGCUGCAGCAGCACAUGGCGGACCUCCUACAGCAGGGUCCUGAUGUGGCACCCAGCUUCCUCAACAGCGUCCUCAAUCAGCUCAACUGGGCCUUCUCUGAAUUCAUUGGCAUGAUCCAAGAGAUCCAGCAGGCUGCUGAGCGCCUGGAGCGGAACUUUGUGGACAGCCGGCAGCUCAAGGUAUGUGCCACCUGCUUUGACCUCUCGGUCAGCCUGCUGCGUGUCUUGGAGAUGACUAUCACACUGGUGCCUGAGAUAUUCCUUGACUGGACCCGGCCUACCUCUGAGAUGCUGCUGCGGCGUCUUGCACAGCUGCUAAACCAGGUGCUGAACCGGGUGACAGCUGAGAGGAACCUGUUUGAUCGUGUGGUCACCCUACGGCUGCCUGGCCUAGAGAGCGUGGACCACUAUCCCAUUCUGGUGGCAGUGACGGGCAUCCUGGUGCAGCUCCUGGUGCGUGGCCCAGCCUCAGAGAGAGAGCAAGCCACAUCAGUGCUCCUGGCAGAUCCCUGCUUCCAGCUACGCUCAAUAUGCUAUCUCCUGGGACAGCCAGAGCCCCCAGCACCUGGCACUGCUCUGCCAGCCCCUGACCGGAAGCGCUUCUCCCUGCAGAGCUAUGUGGAUUAUAUCAGUGCCGAUGAGCUGGCCCAAGUGGAACAGAUGCUGGCGCACCUGACCUCUGCAUCUGCCCAGGCAGCAGCUGCCUCCCUGCCCACCAGUGAGGAGGACCUCUGCCCCAUCUGCUAUGCCCACCCCAUCUCUGCUGUGUUCCAGCCCUGUGGCCACAAGUCCUGCAAGUAAGUGGGCCCCACAGCUUGGUGGUGGGGAGAGCAGUAGGUACAUGCAGGGCAGUCCUCAUCCCCUCCCCUGUUGUAGAGCCUGUAUCAACCAGCACCUGAUGAACAACAAGGACUGCUUCUUCUGCAAAGCCACCAUCGUGUCUGUAGAGGACUGGGAGAAGGGAGCCAAUACGAGUACUACCUCCUCAGCUGCCUAGCCCUCACAGCCUGCGCCAUCCUGGAACCUCCACCUUUGAACCCAGAGCCAGGCUGGACCCUAUUUAUGAGCUCCCUUUGCCCUUCUCCUGUAUCCCACACCACCACAUCCAACCUCCUUGCCUGCCUGUAUCCUCAUUGGUGGGAGCCCAGCCAUGGCCCUAAUUGUGCCUGAGCUUGACUUUCAGUCAGGGCCACAGUGAGCAUUAAAUUAUUAUUCCAUA